rnacentral:rRNA from 1 species
AUUGAACGCUGGCGGCAGGCCUAACACAUGCAAGUCGAACGAGUGGCGGACGGGUGAGUAAUGUCUGGGAAACUGCCUGAUGGAGGGGGAUAACUACUGGAAACGGUAGCUAAUACCGCAUACCAUCAGAUGUGCCCAGAUGGGAUUAGCUAGUUGGUGGGGUAACGGCUCACCAAGGCGACGAUCCCUAGCUGGUCUGAGAGGAUGACGAGCGACACUGGAACUGAGACACGGUCCAGACGCGUACGGUAGGCGGCAGUGGGGAAUAUUGCACAAUGGGCGAAAGCCUGAUGCAGCCAUGCCGCGUGUAUGAGGAAGGCCUUAGGGUUUUAAAGUACUUUCAGCGUGGAGGCGUUACCCGCAGAAGAAGCCCCGGCUACCUCCGUGCCAGCAGCCGCGGUAAUAC